rnacentral:misc_RNA from 1 species
GGAAGGAUCAUUAACAAAUCGUGUUUGUCCAUGCUACCCUUUACCGGGUGCUGGACUAACAUUAAUCCCGGGGGCAACCCCGGAUGAUAUGUACGAAAAGUGAGAAUUGUGAGCAAAACUAUACAAACUUUUAACAACGGAUCUCUUGGCUCCUGCAUCGAUGAAGAACGCAGCAAAGUGCGAAAUGUAAUGCGAUUUGCAACUUCUGUGAGUCAUCGAGUCUUUGAACGCAUAUUGCACCAAGUGCGCAAGCACCUGGUAUGCCUGUUUGAGAAUCAUUUAAAAAUUAUUGUCCUUGUGACGAGUUGUGCCCCAGAAAUGUGGCAUCGAGUGUUGUGCUGAUGUGUCAAGUAUUCAUCAUUCUCAUCCUUCUAAACACAUGAUCUCAAAUCAGGCAAGACUACCCGCUGAACUUAAGCAUAUCAGUAAGCGGAGGAAAAGAAACUAACUAGGAUUCCCUCAGUAACGGCGAGUGAACCGGGAAAAGCUCAAAUUUUAAAUCUGGAAGCCUCGCUUCCCGAAUUGUAGUUUAAAGAUAAAUGCCAUGGGGCGCUGCUGGCCGUGCAAGUCUCCUGGAAUGGGGCGUCACAGAGGGUGAGAAUCCCGUCUGACGGUUGGCAGCGUUCCGCAGCGCUUGUCAAAGAGUCGAGUUGUUUGGGAAUGCAACUCAAAAUGGGUGGUAAAUUUCAUCUAAGGCUAAAUAUAGGCAGGAGACCGAUAGCAAACAAGUACCGUGAGGGAAAGAUGAAAAGCACCUUGAAAAGGGGGUGAAAUAGUGCGUGAAAUUGUUAAAAGGGAAACGAUUGGAACCAGUAUUGUCGCAAGACAAGUCAGCGUCGGCUGCGAGCUCGUGACUAGGCCCUCCGGAAGAUGACGUUGCUUGCAACGUUUUACAGACGGGGGAAUCCAGGCGGGCCGUCUUCCGAUCAAGUGUGCUCUACCCAGUGGUUGACCGAUUCUCGAGUGUUUGGAGCUGUGCACGCACCGCCCGAUCGCCCGGGGACCGCUAUGCCACUGCAUGUACACGUGCUGGUGAGGUGGUUCCAAACGACCCGUCUUGAAACACGGACCAAGGAGUCUAACGUAUAUGCGAGUAUUUGGGUGGCAAGCCCGAAUGCGCAACGAAAGUAACCGAUAGGAUGCUUCGGCAGCACUAUUGGCCAGCCGUCCUCGGACGUGCUGAGUGUGAGCAUAUCUGUUGGGACCCGAAAGAUGGUGAACUAUGCCUGAAUAGGGUGAAGCCAGAGGAAACUCUGGUGGAAGCUCGUAGCCGUUCUGACGUGCAAAUCGAUGGUCAAAUUUGGGUAUAGGGGCGAAAGACUAAUCGAACCAUCUAGUAGCUGGUUCCCUC